rnacentral:misc_RNA from 1 species
UUGGUUUGUUACUAGUGGUCGGCUCUCUUGCUUGUGCACAACUUCCACCUGACAUGCCUUUUCGUUCGUCCGUUAAGGCUUCGGUUGCCUGAACAAAUUGUUGGUUUCCUGUGUUGCCUGCCUAACAAACGGUAUUAAUUUGGCUUAUCUAAGUUCCGUUCGUCUUUCGUCAUGUGUAUGACGUUAGAUGAACCCUAAACAUGUCUCUUUGAACCACGUCAUUAAUGCUUGUGUUGAUGUAGUGGCGCAUUGAGCCUUGCUUGGUYUCUUCGAUGUAGUGCUUGAUGUGGGCAUGGGUCUACUGGAACCCUGAUAUGUCCCUGAUUAGUGUGUACACUCCCGAAAAUGACUGUCUGACAYGCGUUGGC